rnacentral:rRNA from 1 species
ACACAUGCAAGUCGAACGGUAACAGGUCUUCGGAUGCUGACGAGUGGCGAACGGGUGAGUAAUACAUCGGAACGUGCCUAGUAGUGGGGGAUAACUACUCGAAAGAGUAGCUAAUACCGCAUGAGAUCUACGGAUGAAAGCAGGGGACCUUCGGGCCUUGUGCUACUAGAGCGGCUGAUGGCAGAUUAGGUAGUUGGUGGGGUAAAGGCUUACCAAGCCUGCGAUCUGUAGCUGGUCUGAGAGGACGACCAGCCACACUGGGACUGAGACACGGCCCAGACUCCUACGGGAGGCAGCAGUGGGGAAUUUUGGACAAUGGGCGAAAGCCUGAUCCAGCAAUGCCGCGUGCAGGAUGAAGGCCCUCGGGUUGUAAACUGCUUUUGUACGGAACGAAAAGCCUGGGGCUAAUACCCCCGGGUCAUGACGGUACCGUAAGAAUAAGCACCGGCUAACUACGUGCCAGCAGCCGCGGUAAUACGUAGGGUGCAAGCAUUAAUCGGAAUUACUGGGCGUAAAGCGUGCGCAGGCGGUUUUGUAAGACAGUGGUGAAAUCCCCGGGCUCAACCUGGGAACUGCCAUUGUGACUGCAAGGCUAGAGUGCGGCAGAGGGGGAUGGAAUUCCGCGUGUAGCAGUGAAAUGCGUAGAUAUGCGGAGGAACACCGAUGGCGAAGGCAAUCCCCUGGGCCUGCACUG